rnacentral:rRNA from 1 species
AGAAUGAACGUUGGCGGCGUGGAUUAGGCAUGCAAGUCGGACGGGCCGCAAGGCCAGUGGCGUAAGGGUGAGUAAGGCGACGGCAAUCAUCCCCACGGUUGGGUAUAGCCGCGAGAAAUCGCGGGUAAUCCCCAGCGACGCGAGGUGUCGGCAUCGACCGCCCCGCCAAAGGCUCGCCGCCGUGGGACGAGCCGUCGUGGUAUUAGGUCGUUGGCGGGGUAACGCCACCAAGCCUGCGAUGCCUACCGGUGUGCGAGCAUCGGCCCGGCACA